rnacentral:rRNA from 1 species
GAGAAGCUUGCUUCUCUUGAGAGCGGCGGACGGGUGAGUAAUGCCUAGGAAUCUGCCUGGUAGUGGGGGAUAACGUUCGGAAACGGACGCUAAUACCGCAUACGUCCUACGGGAGAAAGCAGGGGACCUUCGGGCCUUGCGCUAUCAGAUGAGCCUAGGUCGGAUUAGCUAGUUGGUGAGGUAAUGGCUCACCAAGGCGACGAUCCGUAACUGGUCUGAGAGGAUGAUCAGUCACACUGGAACUGAGACACGGUCCAGACUCCUACGGGAGGCAGCAGUGGGGAAUAUUGGACAAUGGGCGAAAGCCUGAUCCAGCCAUGCCGCGUGUGUGAAGAAGGUCUUCGGAUUGUAAAGCACUUUAAGUUGGGAGGAAGGGUUGUAGAUUAAUACUCUGCAAUUUUGACGUUACCGACAGAAUAAGCACCGGCUAACUCUGUGCCAGCAGCCGCGGUAAUACAGAGGGUGCAAGCGUUAAUCGGAAUUACUGGGCGUAAAGCGCGCGUAAGUGGUUUGUUAAGUUGGAUGUGAAAUCCCCGGGCUCAACCCUGGGACUG